rnacentral:tRNA from 1 species
GCCUCGAUAGCUCAGUCGGUAGAGCAGAGGAUUGAAAAUCCUCGUGUCGGUGGUUCGAUUCCGCNUCAGUAGGUA